rnacentral:rRNA from 1 species
GCGGCGGCAGAGCGCAGGCCAAGAGGAGGGGGAAGAGAGAGAAGCGGCUCGAGCGGCGGCGGCGACGAGCGGAGUAGGGGGAGCGCGGAGGUGGGGGAUCGGAGGGGAAGAGGAGGAGGGCAGGAGAGGAGGCGGCGAGCCAGCGGCACGGGCACGACGAGUUGGGGGCGGCGGGGUAGCCGACGAGGCAGCGGCAAGUACCGUAGGCCCUCCGUGCGCCGGCGCGGGGGAGGGUAGCACGGCAGCUCCCCUCCUCGGUCCGCCUCGCGCGGCAGCGGUGGCCGACCGCGCAGCUGCUCUCCUCCGGUCCCAAUCCCACGAGAGGAGCAGCGCGACGCCUAGAGGACCGCGGCGGCCGACGUCCUCGACUUCGAAGAGGAGCGCGGCGGUCGACGGCCCAAGCCUAGAGGAGGUGAAACGUAGCGACCGACUACCUGAUUCUCGAGUAGGUGGAGCGUGGGGCCUCGUGAUGAUGAAGGAGGACGGAGCUACACGAGGAUGGUGGAGGACCAAAAGACUAGAUUGACCGUAACUGAUAUCACUUCGACGUUAACUCGAACGAGCUUUGGAGCGUUAAGAACUACCUAAACUCGUUUAAUUAAAGGACCAACUACUAUAGGACCUCUAUUUCAACCUCUCCCCUAAACUUGAACACUACCUACUUCCUUGAGACCUACGUUAUCCCGAGGUGGGACUACCUGGACAUUUCUCUUACUACAUAACCGUCAGUCACCGAUCGAACCAAAUAGUACCACCGUAUGACCUGGUUCCUACUCGAUCACGUCCUCCACCUCUUGAAGUUGGUCUCUUUCGACCCGGGGCGUCUAAUCCUAAGGUAUUAAACUACAACUCCAAACUGACGGUGGUAACCCCUUUCGGUGAUUGGCUCCACCUAGCCGCUGACGGCAAUCGCGUAGAUAAGACGAUCCUCCACAACGGCAGCUGCUACUCACGGUCUGGUACGCGACUGAGUUCCUGGCGGCAAGGCAACCGGGCAACAAAUCGUACGCGGCAGUGCGCCGUGACGGGGGCCGGUACUUGAUCCCAGCCACCGGCUCGAGCAGCGGCAGGCGGAGCCACCGGGCGAAGGAGCGAACGAAGAAACCCAGGGUUCGUGGACGGUGGCCACCUACUGCUCUAGGCGGUGGUUGGUACAUGGCCCCUCCUCGAGUGGGAGCGCCGGAGAUGUACAGGGGUCACAGAAUACGAAGUUAACCCACGGUUCCUUGUGAACUGGCGACCUCCAACAGUAAAUGGAUCGGACUCAGGACUACUAUGAUGUGGAAAGAAACAUGGGGUAAUUUCCGAUGGUGGUAAGUUGAGUCCAUGCAAAGACACGUAACUCGGCCAGGUAAAAGUCGAUAAUGAGAAUGAAACAAAUGGUCUGUUGCACAACUCGGUCCGUAGCCGCGCGACCCGACUUCGGAAAACAACAAAGGACCUGUUUAAAGAUACAUCACACUACGGAAAACAACAAAGGACCUGUUUAAAGAUACAUGAUACACAUACAUAGCUACGUUACGAACACUAUUUUUGAACUAUAUAAUCUAUCAAUUUGUGUAGAUAUGAUAAGAUAAAAAACGCACCUUAAGAUAAAAAAUAUAAAUGUUACGAAAUUACUGACAUAAUGGUCUAACCUAUAUUG